CUUCCGCCCCGGGCUUCCGCUCCGCUGCUCUUUGCGCUCCAUCCCGCCUGGCUUGGCCCUUGCGGACGGCGCUGGACUCCUCCGCACCGGCCUCCCGCGGCGUGUCACAAUAGACCCCCCGACCGCCGCGCACCCCGCGUUCUUGGAGGUCAGUAGCUGUCAAAGGCUUAUUAGGAACUGCGUUCGUAGCCGGCCUUGCCUCUGCGGGGUGGUAUCUCUACAGUGAAGGCAUGAUUCCACCAAACCUCAUUCCAUCAAACCUCAUUCCAUCAAACCUGUUCCCUUUUGGUUGAGAGCCUGCAUUCAUCUGGAUUUCAGCUGUCCUUCAAAAUAAACCAACAGCAUGGCA